GCUUACGGCCAUACCACCCUGAGCACGCCCGAUCUCGUCUGAUCUCGGAAGCUAAGCAGGGUCGGGCCUGGUUAGUACUUGGAUGGGAGACCGCCUGGGAAUACCAGGUCCUGUAAGCU
rnacentral:rRNA from 1 species